UGGGGAAUUUUGGACAAUGGGGGAAACCCUGAUCCAGCCAUCCCGCGUGUGCGAUGAAGGCCUUCGGGUUGUAAAGCACUUUUGGCAGGAAAGAAACGUCAUGGGUUAAUACCCCGUGAAACUGACGGUACCUGCAGAAUAAGCACCGGCUAACUACGUGCCAGCAGCCGCGGUAAUACGUAGGGUGCAAGCGUUAAUCGGAAUUACUGGGCGUAAAGCGUGCGCAGGCGGUUCGGAAAGAAAGAUGUGAAAUCCCAGAGCUCAACUUUGGAACUGCAUAUUUAACUACCGGGCUAGAGUGUGUCAGAGGGAGGUGGAAUUCCGCGUGUAGCAGUGAAAUGCGUAGAUAUGCGGAGGAACACCGAUGGCGAAGGCAGCCUCCUGGAAUAACACUGACGCUCAUGCACGAAAGCGUGGGGAGCAAACAGG
rnacentral:rRNA from 1 species